UGGAAUGAUAUAAACUUAGUGGCGGACGGGUGAGUAACGCGUGGGUAACCUGCCUCAUACAGGGGGAUAACAGCCGGAAACGGUUGCUAAAACCGCAUGAUAUGCGAACAUCGCAUGAUGAUUGCAUCAAAUAUUUAUAGGUAUGAGAUGGGCCCGCGUCUGAUUAGCUAGUUGGUAGAGUAAAAGCCUACCAAGGCGACGAUCAGUAGCCGGCUUGAGAGAGUGACCGGCCACAUUGGGACUGAGACACGGCCCAAACUCC
rnacentral:rRNA from 1 species